rnacentral:sRNA from 1 species
UUUUGAGUUCUGCGUCUAUUGAAUUAUUUCAAAAUUGGGAUUCAAUUAGCGGGUUUAUUAC